rnacentral:rRNA from 1 species
GACGAACGCUGGCGGCGUGCUUAACACAUGCAAGUCGAACGGAAAGGCCCUGCUUUUGUGGGGUGCUCGAGUGGCGAACGGGUGAGUAACACGUGAGUAACCUGCCCUUGACUUUGGGAUAACUUCAGGAAACUGGGGCUAAUACCGGAUAGGAGCUCCUGCUGCAUGGUGGGGGUUGGAAAGUUUCGGCGGUUGGGGAUGGACUCGCGGCUUAUCAGCUUGUUGGUGGGGUAGUGGCUUACCAAGGCUUUGACGGGUAGCCGGCCUGGGAGGGUGACCGGCCACAUUGGGACUGAGAUACGGCCCAGCCUCCUACGGGAGGCAGCAGUGGGGAAUAUUGCACAAUGGGCGGAAGCCUGAUGCAGCAACGCCGCGUGCGGGAUGACGGCCUUCGGGUUGUAAACCGCUUUCGCCUGUGACGAAGCGUGAGUGACCGUAAUGGGUAAAGAAGCACCGGCUAACUACGUG